GAUCAGCAGUGACUGCAGUGAUGUAAGAGUGAGUUACCACACAGGCCUGGGCCACGGCGUAUAUUAAGAGCACUAUGAACACACACAGGACGGU